rnacentral:rRNA from 1 species
CCUACGGGCGGCAGCAGUGAGGAAUAUUGGUCAAUGGGCGUAAGCCUGAACCAGCCAAGUCGCGUGAGGGAUGAAGGUUCUAUGGAUCGUAAACCUCUUUUAUAAGGGAAUAAAGGGUGGGACGUGUCCUGUUUUGUAUGUACCUUAUGAAUAAGGAUCGGCUAACUCCGUGCCAGCAGCGGCGGUAAUACGGAGGAUCCGAGCGUUAUCCGGAUUUAUUGGGUUUAAAGGGUGCGUAGGCGGCCUCUUAAGUCAGCGGUGAAAGUCUGUGGCUCAACCAUAGAAUUGCCGUUGAAACUGGGAGGCUUGAGUAUGUUUGAGGCAGGCGGAAGGCGUGGUGUAGCGGUGAAAUGCUUAGAUAUCACGCAGAACCCCGAUUGCGAAGGCAGCCUGCCAAGCCAUGACUGACGCUGAUGCACGAAAGCGUGGGGAUCAAACAGGAUUAGAUACCCUUGUAGUC